AGAGUUUGAUUCUGGCUCAGGAUGAACGCUAGCGGCAGGCCUAACACAUGCAAGUCGAGGGGCAGCGGGGUAGCAAUACCGCCGGCGACCGGCGUACGGGUGCGUAACGCGUAUGUAACCUGGCUCCGAUUGGGGGAUAGCCUUCCAAAAGGAAGAUUAAUACCGCAUAACAUCGCUUUCCCGCAUGAGAGAGCGAUUAAAUAUUUAUAGAUCGGAGAUGGACAUGCGUGACAUUAGCUAGUUGGCGAGGUAACGGCUCACCAAGGCGACGAUGUCUAGGGGUCCUGAGAGGGAGAACCCCCACAUUGGUACUGAGACAGGGACCAAACUCCUACGGGAGGCAGCAGUGAGGAAUAUUGGUCAAUGGUCGGAAGACUGAACCAGCCAAGUCGCGUGCAGGAAGACGGUCCUAUGGAUUGUAAACUGCUUUUGUACGGGAAUAAAGUGCAGGACGUGUCCUGUUUGGAAUGUACCGUAAGAAUAAGGGUCGGCUAACUCCGUGCCAGCAGCCGCGGUAAUACGGAGGACCCGAGCGUUAUCCGGAUUUAUUGGGUUUAAAGGGAGCGCAGGCGGAGGAUUAAGUCAGCGGUGAAAUUCUCAUGCUCAACAUGAGAACUGCCAUUGAUACUGGUCCCCUUGAGAGAUGUCGAGGAUGGCGGAAUGUGAUGUGUAGCGGUGAAAUGCUUAGAUAUGUCACAGAACACCGAUUGCGAAGGCAGCUGUCCAGAGAUCAUCUGACGCUCAGGCACGAAAGCAUGGGUAUCAAAAGGGAUUAGAUCCCCUGGUAGUCCAUGCAGUAAAAGAUGAGUGCUCGCCCAUUUGCCCCUUAGGGGUGAAUGGCUUAGGGAAACCGUUAAGCACUCCACCUGGAGAGUACGCCGGCAACGGUGAAACUCAAAGGAAUUGAAGGGGGCCCGCACAAGCGGAGGAACAUGUGGUUUAAUUCGAUGAUACGCGAGGAACCUUACCCGGGCUUGAAAUCAGGAUGAACGAUCUGGAGACAGAGAGGUCUGGCAACAGCAUCCUGGUAGGUGCUGCAUGGUUGUCGUCAGCUCGUGCCGUGAGGUGUCGGCUUAAGUGCCAUAACGAGCGCAACCCUCGCUGACAGUUACUAACAGGUUAAGCUGAGGACUCUGUCGGGACUGCCACCGCAAGGUGUGAGGAAGGUGGGGAUGACGUCAAAUCAGCACGGCCCUUACGUCCGGGGCUACACACGUGUUACAAUGGGUGGGACAGAAAGAAGCCAGGCGGCGACGCCGAGCGGAUCUCCAAACCCAUCCCUAGUUCGGACUGGAGUCUGCAACCCGACUCCACGAAGCUGGGUUCGCUAGUAAUCGCGCAUCAGCCAUGGCGCGGUGAAUACGUUCCCGGGCCUUGCACACACCGCCCGUCA
rnacentral:rRNA from 1 species